rnacentral:lncRNA from 1 species
CCGGGCGUAGUGGCCAGUGCCUGUAACCCCAGCUACUCGGGAGGCUGAGGCUGAAGAAUCGCUUGAGCAGAGGAGGCAGAGGCUGCAGUGAGCCAAGGUCAUGCCACUGCACUCUGGCCCGGGCGAUAGAGCAAGACUCCGUCUCAAAAAAAAAAUUAUAUAGACACAUAUAUAUACAUAAAAUAAUAAUAAUAGGCCCGGCACGGUGGCUUAUGUGAGUCUGUAAUCCCAGCACUUUGGAGGGCUGAGGCGGGUGGAUCACCCGAAGUCAGGAGUUCGAAACCAGCCAGCCUGACCAACAUGGUGAAACCCUGCCUCUACUAAAAAUACAGAAUUAGCUGGGCAUGGUAGCCGGCGCCUGUAAUCCCAGCUACUUGGGAGGCCGAGGCAGGAGAAUCGCUUGAACCUGGGAGGCGGAGGUUGCAGUGAGCUGAGAUAGCAUCAUUGCACUCCAGCCUGGGCAACAAGAGCAAAACUCCGUCUCAAAAAAUAAAAUAAAAUAAAAAUAAUAGUAAUAAAAAGUAAAAAAAUAGAAAAAGAUUACAAAUCAAGGCUUGCUUAAUGUAAUAAAGACUUUCUCAAGAAAAAUUAAAGUGCAUUAUCCUUUCCUCUCCUUCCCCUUAGGAAAACAGUAUUUAUCGAACAUUUACUAUACAACAAGCACUUAGGAAGCAUUUACACAACAUAUUUGGACACUUAAUUCCCACAACCCUAUGAUAAGAGCACUAUUAUUUCGGGUAACCUGCCCAAGGUCACCAAGAGGGUGACUAGGCCAGGAAUGAAGGCCAGUCUGUCCAGUUCUGAGUUCGCUCUCGGACUUUCUGCUGUAGAAACCCGGUGGGGUAACAGCAGCUGUACCUGCGGAAGAAGGACAAAGCUCAAGAAACUUCCAGAAGUGACCCAGGCUGGGUUCUGAAAGAUGAACAUGCCUUCACGAGCGCCCAUUCUGUCCUUCCUGCUGGAUUCUGGCUCAGGAGAAGAGCGCCGCCAGGACCCCAGGAAGCUGCAGACAGGAGCCGCUGACACCUCCACCUCACGCGGACGCCACCUAGUGUGACCAUUACCAGCCACUGCGCCUGCGCAGACUCGGGUUUUCUGUGCGCGCCAGAGGGGCGGGGCCUGGGCCGGGAAGGGGCAGAAGUAGACCGACGGCUGGGCCGCCAUUCACCAAUAGAAAAGAGAGAUCGAGAGCCACGUGCUCAUAAGAUAUCCAAUCACAAUCACAUCCUGUGGCGGCGGAUUGGGGGGCGUGGACUAGAGGUUGAUCGGGUUGGGCACACAGCAUCACGUGACACGAAAAGGUAAAUAAGGCCACGUGGCUUUUUCUCCUUGGCUUCGGCGAAACAUUACGUCACACUACCGUCUCUGAACAAUUAUUUAAUGAACUUAUGUGAUGCGCUAGACAAUGUGAAGACAAUGCGGUUGCUAGAAAUUGUAAUCUCUCCAUCAAAUUACUCUGUCCAGCUUAUUUCCUUGUUUCUUCAUUCAAAUCAUCCUAGACAUUCAACUAGUUUUCCGUAUCCUACUUUCAUACAAAUGCUCAUUUAAAGAUAAUUAAGGGAAUUUAUUCUCUCUUUCCCAAGCCUUGAUAAUGAAAAAGAGGUAGGUUAUUUUGUUGUUGGUUUUUUGUUUUCUUUUUUCUUUUUUUUUUUUUUUUGAGACAGGGUCUCAUUCUAUCACCCAGGCCAGAGUGCAGUCUCACUGCAGCCUCAACCUUCUGGGCUCAGGUGAUACUCCCAUCUCAGCCUCCCGAGUAGCUGGGACUACAGCCAUGCAACACCUUGCUGAUUUUUUGUAGAGACGGGAUUUCACCGUGUUGUCCAGGCUGGACUCAAGCAAGCCUCAGCUUCUCAAAGUGCUGGGAUUUACAGGCCUGAGCUACCACGCCCGGCCCAAGAGAGAUUUUUACAUCAGAGGAUAUCUUUAGAGCCUUUAGUAGCCCUGUGACUGCUCUCUCUCUCUCGUUUGUUCUGUCAUCUAAAUAAAUAAAUAAAUAAAUAAGAAGAAGUAAGCACCAUUUUCCUAAAAGCCCACUUUUCUUCCAUCCAACAGGGACUUGCAAUUUCUUUCCACUGAAGAAAUAUUUUUUAUGGCCUUCACAGUUCGUUGAAGAUUAAGGCCAGGUCUAACUUGAUUUUGCAUCCCUUGAAAUUCUUCAUAGCACAAUAUGCAAAGAAGGGUUCUUCGGUUUAUGCUUGUUGAAUUUGAAUUUGAGAAUAGUCCCAUUCUUGCCUGCCAAAGAAUUAAAAAGACUUAAAAAGAAUUAAUUUUAAUUAAAAAGAAUUAAAAAGAUAGCACUUCUCUGAAUUAUCUGGAUUUGGGUUCCAAGGUCAGCUAUGCCACCCAGGAAUUAGUGACUUUUGGCAAUCCAUUGCAUCUUUAAGCCAGUUUCCUCAUCCAUCAGAUGUGGAUAUAACAGUACCUACAACUAUAGAACUUCAAGGAUGACAAGAUAAUUGUGCAAAAGACAUGACACCGUCUGGAGCAUACAGCAUAAUAUAUACAAGGAUGCCAGUUUGAAGAGUAGGGAAGAAAGUCUCAGAGCAGACUGAAUUGUAGACAGAUACUAACACUAAAUCAUUGUCUUGUGGCCAGCCCCGAAUACAUUGUAUCCUCAGCAUUUUGUGUGGUGCCUGGCC